rnacentral:rRNA from 1 species
CCUACGGGUGGCAGCAGUGGGGAAUAUUGGGCAAUGGGCGCAAGCCUGACCCAGCAACGCCGCGUGAAGGAAGAAGGCUUUCGGGUUGUAAACUUCUUUUGUCAGGGACGAAGCAAGUGACGGUACCUGCCGAAUAAGCCACGGCUAACUACGUACCCGCAGCCGCGGGAAUACGUAGGUGGCAAGCGUUAUCCGGAUUUACUGGGUGUAAAGGGCGUGUAGGCGGGGAAGCAAGUCAGAUGUGAAAACCACGGGCUCAACCUGUGGCCUGCAUUUGAAACUGUUUUUCUUGAGUGCUGGAGCGGCAAUCGGAAUUCCGGGUGUAGCGGUGAAAUGCGUAGAUAUACGGAGGAACACCAGUGGCGAAGGCGGAUUGCUGGACAGUAACUGACGCUGAGGCGCGAAAGCGUGGGGAGCAAACAGGAUUAGAUACCCGAGUAGUC